CGAACGCUGGCGGCGUGCUUAACACAUGCAAGUCGAACGGAAAGGCCCUGCUUUUGUGGGGUGCUCGAGUGGCGAACGGGUGAGUAACACGUGAGUAACCUGCCCUUGACUUUGGGAUAACUUCAGGAAACUGGGGCUAAUACCGGAUAGGAGCUCCUGCUGCAUGGUGGGGGUUGGAAAGUUUCGGCGGUUGGGGAUGGACUCGCGGCUUAUCAGCUUGUUGGUGGGGUAGUGGCUUACCAAGGCUUUGACGGGUAGCCGGCCUGAGAGGGUGACCGGCCACAUUGGGACUGAGAUACGGCCCAGACUCCUACGGGAGGCAGCAGUGGGGAAUAUUGCACAAUGGGCGGAAGCCUGAUGCAGCAACGCCGCGUGCUGGAUGACGGCCUUCGGGUUGUAAACCGCUUUCGCCUGUGACGAAGCGUGAGUGACGGUAAUGGGUAAAGAAGCACCGGCUAACUACGUG
rnacentral:rRNA from 1 species